UACGUAGGGGGCAAGCGUUGUCCGGAAUGACUGGGCGUAAAGGGAGUGUAGGCGGCUCAUCAAGUUAGAUGUGAAAUCCCGCGGCUUAACCGCGGAACUGCAUCUAAAACUGGUAAGCUGGAGUGCAGGAGAGGUGAGUGGAAUUCCUAGUGUAGCGGUGGAAUGCGUAGAUAUAUGGAAGAACACCAGUGGCGAAGGCGGCUCUCUGGUCUGCAACUGACGCUGAGGCUCGAAAGCAUGGGUAGCGAACAGG
rnacentral:rRNA from 1 species